rnacentral:rRNA from 1 species
AAGGUAGCAUAAUCAUUUGUCUUUUAAUUGAAGACUAGAAUGAAUGGAUAAACAAGAAUAAAUCUGUCUUAAUUUAAAUUAUUAUAAAUUUAUAUUUAGGUGAAGAAUCCUAAAUAAAUCUAUAGGACAAAAAGACCCUAUUGAGCUUUAUUUAAUUUUAUAUAUAAAAUUUUUUUAAAAAGAUUUAUAUAAUAAUAAGAGUUUGGUUGGGGCGACAUAGGAAUAAAAAAAUCUUCUUAUAAGAAUAUAAAAAUAAUAAAUAUCCUAGAAAAAGAAAAAAAAUUAGUUACCAUAGGGAUAACAGGCUAAUCUUUAUUGAGAGUUCAUAUUAACAUAAAGGGUUGGCACCUC